rnacentral:lncRNA from 1 species
CUUACUGUAAGGUCCGUGGUUAGCAUCUGGACAGCCAUCUUAAGGGACAGUCACCAUUUUAAGAAAAAAUUCACUUUUCUGCCCAAGGGCCUUUCUGAGAAAGGCUCACUCCUCCCUCAUAACAACCCAACCCUUCACCACCUGCAUUAGGACCUGCCAGGAUCCUUGAGCCUGCCCGGAUCCCUGAGCCUGCCCCAUAAAAGUCCCAAACCCCACGCCUGUUUUGCCUCUCUUCAUCUAUGAAGAGAUGUGCCUUUAUUUGUCAGCUCUGACCAAUAAACUCUAGCGUGUAUCUCUGCCUGGUCUCCAUCCUUCAUUUCUCGCCUGUCUCCUGGUUCCUUGCUUUCCUUUCACUUACCACUUUGUGAAUUAGCUGAGCAGCCCAGAGCAGCAGGAGGGGUAGAGGCAGUACACAAGGCCAUUCCACAGAGAGGCGGCCCAGGCUAAAAAAGCACAGUUAAUAGGCCAUAGCAGGUAUGUGUUCUGGUUAUGGAGGAACCAUCCAAUUUGACAAUGGGUUUGUAUACUGUAGGGGCUAGGUUGCAAAGCCAACUGGAGCAACUUAGUGUUUAAUAGCAAAGUUUCUUAAUUAUGGACUAAGAGCUGCUUAAAAAUAUGUGGCAGCUUAAGCUGAAUGGUGAGAUCUUUGUCUUGUUGCCCUGAUAUUUUUUGUACUGCAGUGUGCUAACUUGGGGAGACUUCACAAGAGAAUAGUCCUCAGGAGCUGUCUUUACUAGCACUAGAUGAAGUGGAGAAACUUCAGUAUAAGUAGAUCAAGGGAUUCACCCAGUUUGCCCUAUUAGAAGAUGCUGGUCUUUGUAUUCUCCACUUUUUUGUUUUUUAAUUGUAGUGUUGGGGAUUAAAGCCAGGGCUUCACACACGUUAGGUAACUGUUUUACCACUAAGCUAUAUCUCCAGUCCUGCCUUCUCUA